UCCAGGGUAGCCUAGUGGACAUGGCAUCGGUAAGCAUGGUAAGCGGAACAAUGUGGGUUCGAUUCCCAUCCCUGGAC